rnacentral:lncRNA from 1 species
CUUCGCGCGAGUAACACGCAUUUAUCUGUCGCUCCUACGUUUUUUUCAUUUUAAUAAUCAUCCAUAUACGUUGAGAUUGUUUUAUAUUUUGUCUCUUCACAUCAAGGAUAUAACGUAUUUAAUAGUAAUAAAAAUUCAUCAAAUCUGUGGGAGUUGGUUGAAGCUUUUUAUUUUGAAAAAUAUGGAGAGGAUAUUUGAGAUCAUAUGAAAGAAGUGACUUAAGAGGCUUCUGGAAUUUUCUGUUUCAAACUUAUAUAGGAAUUACAACGUUGCGUCAUUUCACGAAAUUUUCAACAGUUUAAAAAACAACUGCGUCAUCAAUGAUAGCUUUAUGAGGGAUUUGAACCGAUUGGAGUACUGCUUAGUGGCUAGGGCGGGGUCCUAUUACUCCAAAUGAGGCUUCUCUCAUAAUACCAAAGCAUUCUCAAUUUUCGUCGUGCAAUGAAUCCAAUUAGUUGUUGAAUGUUUGUCCUUCUUAUUCUAUCUUUAUCUGCACGUAAUGUAAAAUACGAUUUUCUACGUGGAUAAUAAUUCGUGAUAAUUUUACACCGUUACUCUCUUAUUAUACUUGAAUGUAAGACGUAGUCUCGAACUUUCUACGAUUGCAGUUAUUUGUAUUAUCGAUUGGCAACAUCAUGGAAGAUUUAUUAGUGAAGAAAAGUGGCAGGUGAAUAAAACAGAGAUGUGAGGCAAAAUUACACAAAAUGGCGGCGUUAUUGCGCGAGAAAUCAUUGACGUGGUCAUUAUCUUGGUUGAUAAAAACUACGUAAUAUCAAACAAUUUUGCACAUAACUUUUUUAUUUUGAACAAUUUGUUUUUUUUUUCUUUUGUAAAUGAAGGUUUUUAUGGCAGAGGAUAGAAUAUGCACAUAAAGAAUGAGUGAUAUAUAUUUCAUAAUGUAUUUGAGUGUUGUUGCUGACCCAAGAAAUCCAUUUUCUAUCCCUCCACAAGUUUAUUGUGGUUAUUCAACCACAAGCUUGAACGGAAUGGCCUGAGUAAAUGCGUGCACUUUGAUAGAUGAUCUGUUUCUCGAGGGAGAACAUGUAGUGAGAUAGGAAUGCAAAAUAAAUAAAAAAAAAGAAAUGAAUAUAAAAGAUUGUGAAUAUAGUGAAGAAAUAACUACGUGAUUCAAACUCUUCAAUUGAUGCAGUUAUCAUCUUCUGCAGUCUUGCUCGAGAAUAUCAAGCUCGCCAUUGCCUCGCGCUUUUGCAAAUUCUCUUUUUCUCUGUUGAUUUUCACAUACAAUGGACACAUGAUCUCAGUCGAGCCUUGACUCCCCACACUGAGAACGCCCUUUACUAUUGCCACUGCAACUCACGCGCUCGUCUCAAGCUUCUCUUGGUUUAUAUCAGGGGAGAGAUAAUACCUUUUGGGAGUAGGGAGGAGUGCUUAAAGAGGACAAGCAUGUGAGGAGGGAAAAGAUGCGCGCGCAUAUCAAGCGGAGGACGUCAAAAGUUGAGGAUAAAGUGAGCGGGGAAAGAGAAAGAAGGAGCAAAGUGCCACGGUGGCUGACUAGCGAGCGAGCUGUGAACCAUGCGGUGUGUUUUGUCUCUUUGCUUCUUCAUUUCUCAACUGAUAUGAGGCAAACCACGACUAAGAAACCUCACAGAGAAAUUUCGCUUGCCUCGAAAACUCUUAUCUCACGAGAGGAUGCUCUAAAUUCAAACCAAGAACCAAUUUAAACUGUUCAAGGUGUUUUAUGAGAUGGUAUUGCUUGAAAUAACACUGUUUGUGGCACGAAUUUAUGUCUUCUAGAAUAAUUAUUAUCUUUUACACUUCUAUUUCAUUGGUUUCACUAACAAAAUCAUCAUUCUUGGAUCAAGAAUAAUUCCAUUCUUGAUCAUAACAUUCUUAAAUAAAAUAAAAUAAUUCAUGUACAACAUAAUAUGAAUGAAAUCAGGAUAAGAACAGCAUGGAUCCAACAUGAUGGCUAGGUCAUUUAAGAAUAUUAUGAUCAAGAAUAUGAUGUUGAUAGUGUUAGUAAGUAACAGCUAAUCAAUAAUGUGAAUUCUAUGCAAUUCUGUCAUCAAAUUAUUCCGAUAUGUUGAAAAAAUUGAUCAAUCAUAAUCUCGAGAAGAAAAACAGGUUGUUUACACAGUUCAUAUGAUAUCUUGAAUUAACUGAUUAAGAGUUGACUACUUGAAAAUGAUUAAAAUUAUCUCAAAAAUAGAAUCUGCUGAUUAUAAAGACUGACGUAUAACUGGUAAGUCUGGUCAAAGUUGCAAACAUUUUACUGUACUAAUUUUGAUGACUUUUGUAAGUAUAUUUCAAUAAUAAAGAAGAAUUGAUAACAAUUA